ensembl:lncRNA
GGUGUAUCCAUGCUUUGAGAAAAGUGUUUCCACAGCGAGCAGAGGAUUCUGGGUAAUCGAUGGUGGUGCUGAGGGCAGGUUUGUUUUGGGUCUCUGGUAACAGUGAGAGCUUCCAGCAGACCGUGGGAGCAUUAAAAGCAGAAAGAUUCAGGAGCGCCGGAGACCCUCCCCCUCAUAAAGCCCGCUGUCAUAAACGCUUCUUGUCAUCGGGUGUUGUGUGGUGGUCCUGAGACGGUUGCCAGGCAACCUGCGCUGCAUUGAUAUGCGAGUUGGAAGGAAUCAGGGGAAGCCUUCUGCCUCCGGAGCAUCAGUGUUGGGCGGUGCGACUCCCACCAAACACGAGCGCUCUCGUCUGUCUGAGAACACACGCUAAAGGCUUCGCAUCUCAAAAGAUUACUUUUGCACUCCAAGGCACUUAACGUCCUAGUUUUGAUCAUCUCUUUAACCUCAGAGAAGCAGAACGAGGUUUGAACACCUAAAGUUUAGGACUGUGAAUCCAAGAAAAGAGCUUAUGGAGUUUGUUAACGUGGCUUUGGCUAAUUAAAAAGAGGUACUGCCAGUAACUGAACCUCCCCUCUCUCAUCUGUUCAUCCACGAAAGAACAAAGAGAGAGAGGGUUUCUCACGAGGAGCUCAUGACAGCUCAACUCAGGAACAAGUGAGAUGAAACUGGGCAGGAAAACACUGGAGCGCCGCGAGAAACGACACACAUCAGACGCCUGGAAAGCACAGCCUCUCUCAGUCAAUCUGGAACUCCCUCCCAGCUAAAGGAUGAUGGGAUACGACUUCACUCUGAGCUGCCAGGGAUGUUCGUGUGUUUCAGAAAGACGGUCCCGCUCAGCAUGUCUGAUGCUAUGUUCCUCCUGAUGCUGUGCAAGAUUGGUGUGAAAGGAAAACUGCAGACUUCUCCAAGGAAAAUGCUAAACACUGCUCUGAGUGAUGAGGAGAAGGGCAUUCAAGACAAGGAAAGCAAGGAGGAGUCCAUUCUGGCCAUGCUGGGAAUCAUUGGGACCAUCCUCAACCUCGUCGUCAUCAUCUUCGUCUACAUCUACACCACCCUGUGAGAUCCACCGGAGUCCACCGGGACUAUGAUUGGGAGUGAGAUUCUGGCACGGAAAAACCAGGCCGUUCCACCAAGGGAUCAUGGGAAUACAGACACUGCUGCGAUGGAGUCGCACAUCUGAAAGAACAGCUUCCCUUCAAACACAGACUACAUAAGGAACUACGUUAGCUGUAAAUAUGCACGUUUUUUCCGUUUCCGGCAGGCGGCCGUCCCGGAUCCAGAGACACAGGAGCGUUUCUAUGCAUGGCUCAGUCCACAGGACGCUCACAUUCAGAUCCAUCGGCGGAUUUUAAUAGUAAACAUGCUGUGACGUUUCUUACAAACUCCUGCAGGCGACAGUUUCAGGUUUAUACUAUAUUUAAAACUGCUGUUUACAAUAAAUUGCUUAUUAUUAGACCUGCGCUUGGAAAU